rnacentral:piRNA from 1 species
UGAUGGACUCAAACUUAACCAUGCCUUCAA